UCAAUUUCCAUUUGCUCAGACCUUGGUCCCCUGAUCUAGUUAACUUGAUUUUGAUUUUCUCUAAAAUUUCUUUGAAGCAUAAGAUACAUUUGUUUUCUCUCUAGGGUAGGAAGGUGAUUUAUAGUUACCUUGUAAGAUUCCGAGUUGUUUCCAGGGCACAUUUGUAUUGACAUCUUCUUUUUGGAUCUUUCAGCCCUUGAAAUAUAUUGUAAUCUCACUUGGUUACAAGUCAACCUUAAAGCACCGACAUUUGGUGAUUGGUAUUUGCUUUCUGAUGAGGUGUUUCUGGGACAUGGUUGCCCUGUAAGCACCGUGUUCCAAGAUGUGUAUGUAUUUUGGUAUCCUACUAGUGACUGUGGCAUCCAAUCACAGGUUUAUAAAAGGAAAGUCGUUUUUAAGACUUCACUAACAUUUAUCUCAAGAACAUCAUCAAUGAGAGGAUUCGCACCUAUCUCAUGUACUGUUGAUCAAGACAAAUCCUUGCCACAACCACCUGGAACUGUAUUUAUUGACCCAAGGCAGUCCCAAUGGUUGGCUUCUCCAACUUACCAAGAAUAUUAUGAAGAGAAUGUGAAAUGCUUAAAUGUGCGUCCUUCAUACUCCAAUGCUUAAGGAUUUUUCUUCUGUAUCUGUCAAGAUUGAAGUUGAGGAAAUGCCCAACAUUAGAUCCCUGCCUAUACCAUGUCCGAGGAUAAUGGAGUGACUGAAGCUGCCUGAGGACUAAGGAGCAAUAUGCCUAAGCUGUAGUAAUCUUCUGAAGAAGGCAGAGUUAUUACUGAUACCAUCUUUGUUUAAAAAGAUAACUAUGAGAUACAUUAAAGUAGAAAAAUUUUUUGUUUAC